ACUCCAUUAGCUCAGUUGGUAGAGCAGUUGACUCUUAAUCAACGGGUCGUAGGUUCGAGUCCUACACGGCGUA
rnacentral:tRNA from 1 species